GACUGGCUACAGUCUAUGGUGUCACAAAAGAGUCAGACAUGACUUAACGACUAAACAAUAACACAAACUUUUGUCUCUUUAACUGUACUAGAAAAACAGCAUAUAUGUUUCCUGAUGGAUCAGCUAAAUAUAUAGGAUCCAUUCACUAUUGGAAAGUGGUGGCACAUAAUCUGGUCACUACUAAAUCACUGACAACUACUGAGGAAGAUGCUCACAGUGUUCCAAAUUCUACUGAACGAUGGUAUAACUAUUACAGAGGAACAAACCUGAAUCCAAGCUGUAGAAGUUGAUCCAGACUCCAAUGACUUAAAAGGUUUGACUUUGUGGGCACACCAAAAAAUGUGGCCAUUUGGGAGAAAAAGCAACAUACAGGUGGAUUCUUCACUGAUGAACCACCAGGGAAGCCCUUUCAUGUGUAAUUGGCAAAAUACAAAAAGGAGAACCUCCCACUUUGUUAACAGAAGUGAUGAUUAUUCUUGGAAGCCUGACUGUAAUGUGGAUUGUCAUUCACUCUUCAACCUUCAAGGAUAUGUUACAAUUAACAGAAAAAUAUGAAGAAAUCGACUGGGGAAUUUUCAGUUGGAGAAACCUAAGCUGGACCUGAACUCAGGAUAACUUUGCCUGCCCGAUAAACAAGGCCUGUUCUUUCUUAA